AAGUCGUAACAAGGUUUCCGUAGGUGAACCUGCGGAAGGAUCAUUACAAAUAAAGCUGGUAGGGAAAGUGGGGUCAGGUUGCAUUUGCAUUGCUUAAGGUUGGAAUGAGAUGGGCUAGGAAAGCCAGGUAACCCGGACGUUCCGGGCCCUUGCCCCCUCCCGGAAAAAAUUGGUUCCUUUAACCAUGUCCCCCCCAACAGCCCUGGGAGGGCCCGAAUUACAACCCUUGAUUAUCUACACUUGUUGCUUUGGGGUGCUCAAGUGCCCCAGAGGACCCAACUCUCUUGCAUUUAGUGACGUCUGAGUACUAUAUAAUAUUUAAAA
rnacentral:misc_RNA from 1 species